UACGUAGGGGGCAAGCGUUGUCCGGAAUCAUUGGGCGUAAAGAGCGCGUAGGCGGUCCGAUAAGUCGGUUGUGAAAAACUGGGGGGCUCAACCCUCAGAGGCCGACCGAUACUGUCGGGCUAGAGUCCGGAAGAGGCGAGUGGAAUUCCUGGUGUAGCGGUGAAAUGCGCAGAUAUCAGGAGGAACACCAAUGGCGAAGGCAGCUCGCUGGGACGGUACUGACGCUGAGGCGCGAAAGCGUGGGGGAGCAAACAGG
rnacentral:rRNA from 1 species